UGCAGUCGAACGAACUUCCGUUAAUUGAUCAUGACGUGCUUGCACUGAAUGAGAUUUUAAUACGAAGUGAGUGGCGGACGGGUGAGUAACACGUGGGUAACCUGCCCAGAAGCAGGGGAUAACACCUGGAAACAGAUGCUAAUACCGUAUAACAUAGAAAACCGCCUGGUUUUCUUUUAAAAGAUGGCUCUGCUAUCACUUCUGGAUGGACCCGCGGCGCAUUAGCUAGUUGGUGAGGUAACGGCUCACCAAGGCGAUGAUGCGUAGCCGACCUGAGAGGGUAAUCGGCCACAUUGGGACUGAGACACGGCCCAGACUCCUACGGGAGGCAGCAGUAGGGAAUCUUCCACAAUGGACGCAAGUCUGAUGGAGCAACGCCGCGUGAGUGAAUAAGGGUUUCGGCUCGUAAAGCUCUGUUGUUAAAGAAGAACGUGGGUGAGAGUAACUGUUCACCCAGUGACGGUAUUUAACCAGAAAGCCACGGCUAACUACGUGCCAGCAGCCGCGGUAAUACGUAGGUGGCAAGCGUUAUCCGGAUUUAUUGGGCGUAAAGCGAGCGCAGGCGGUCUUUUAAGUCUAAUGUGAAAGCCUUCGGCUCAACCGAAGAAGUGCAUUGGAAACUGGGAGACUUGAGUGCAGAAGAGGACAGUGGAACUCCAUGUGUAGCGGUGAAAUGCGUAGAUAUAUGGAAGAACACCAGU
rnacentral:rRNA from 1 species